rnacentral:rRNA from 1 species
UACGAGAGGCCCAAACGUUAUUCGGAUUUACUGGGCUUAAAGAGUUCGUAGGCGGCGCAGAAAGUAGGGUGUGAAAGCCCUCGGCUCAACCGAGGAAUUGCGCCCUAAACUACUGUGCUUGAGGAACCUAGAGGUGAGCAGAACUGAUGGUGGAGCGGUGAAAUGCGUUGAUAUCAUCAGGAAUACCGGAGGCGAAGGCGGCUCACUGGGGGUUAUCUGACGCUGAGGAACGAAAGCCAGGGGAGCGAACGGG